rnacentral:lncRNA from 1 species
GGAGAAAACCAGCCUGCAGUGCCCAAGCCUCUAGAACUCAAGACAUACAAGUUUAUGGGAAUGGAUGGCUGGCAUCCAUGGAUGUGGAAAGAACUGGCUGCUGUGACAGCAGGGCUGCUCUCUUUCAUCUUUGAAAGGUUGAGGAGUUCAGGGGAGGUCCCAAUGAGCCCAUUAUCAAAAAAGGCCACAAGGACAACCCGGGGAGCUGCAGUCCAUUCAACCUCAUGUUGAUGACGAAUGUGUCAUGGAGCCAGUCCUCUCCGAUCACCUUUCUGGGCACAUGAAGAGGGUGCCUGGGAACAGUCAGCAUGGAUUUACUGAAGGUAAAUCAUUCCUGACCCACCUGAUGGACUUCUGUGACCAGUCCUUGUGGAGGGGAGGAGAGUAGUGGAUGUCCAGCAGACAUCCAGAUGGGCAGAAAGCUGGUUGGAUGAUCAAGCUGAGAGGGUUUUCAUGAAUGGGUCAUGCUUUAUUGGGAAGCCAGGGAAAGAUGGGGUAUGCAGGGGUCUACCCCACAUCAUGCCAUGUUUGAAAACCUCAUCAGCAGGGCAGAACAACACAUGCAUCAGGACAGGCAGAGACCUGACUGGCAGAGGAGUGACCCCGAGGAGAAGGCCCUUCCACUCAGCACUGCUGUGGCCACAUGUCUGCAACAGUGUGUCCCAGUGUGGUACGCCCAGUGCUGGAGGAAUGGGGAGCAAUUGGAGAGGGUCCAGAGGAGGUCUUCCAAGCAGUCGUUGGGGGCCUGAAGCAUAUUGUCUGUAUGCAGUUUCUGAGGGACCUUGGGCUUCUUUAGCCUGCUGAAGUGGAGGCUAAGGCCAAUACAGUAGUCACCUGUGACUGCCUGUGACAGGGUGGUUUCAGAGAUGAAGGAGCUUUUCUUGGUAGUGGGAAGCAGCAUGAGAAGGGGAAAGAGCCACAAAGUGCAUGUUGAGAGGUUCAGACUGCACUUCAGGUAACAAGAAUGUCAUUCAUAGGGUAGUGCUGUGGUGCAACUGGAUACCUAGAGGGAGUCCGUGAUCACCUCUGGCUUUGUGUUUCAAGAAGCAGCCAGUAAGAACAGAGGAACGUUAGUAAAGGUGGGGAGAUGCUGCAGUGAGAGCAAGGUGGGGAAGCAGGUUGGGGGUCUACAGGCUGCAGGGAAAGAGGUAUAGGUUUGUGACAGCUUAGGACAGCCUGUGGUGGAGAUG